rnacentral:rRNA from 1 species
GGAAUCUUCCACAAUGGACGAAAGUCUGAUGGAGCAACGCCGCGUGAGUGAAGAAGGGUUUCGGCUCGUAAACUCUGUUGUUAAAGAAGAACAUAUCUGAGAGUAACUGUUCAGGUAUUGACGGUAUUCAACCAGAAAGCCACGGCUAACUACGGGCCAG